rnacentral:rRNA from 1 species
AACGAACGCUGGCGGCAGGCUUAACACAUGCAAGUCGAGCGCCCCGCAAGGGGAGCGGCAGACGGGUGAGUAACGCGUGGGAACGUACCCUUUGCUACGGAAUAGCUCCGGGAAACUGGAAUUAAUACCGUAUGUGCCCUACGGGGGAAAGAUUUAUCGGCAAAGGAUCGGCCCGCGUUGGAUUAGCUAGUUGGUGGGGUAAUGGCCUACCAUGGCGACGAUCCAUAGCUGGUCUGAGAGGAUGAUCAGCCACAUUGGGACUGAGACACGGCCCAAACUCCUACGGGAGGCAGCAGUGGGGAAUAUUGGACAAUGGGCGAAAGCCUGGUCCAGCAAUGCCGCGUGAGUGAUGAAGGCCUUAGGGUUGUAAAGCUCUUUUACCCGGGAUGAUAAUGACAGUACCGGGAGAAUAAGCUCCGGCUAACUCCGUGCCAGCCGCCGCAGUAAGAC